rnacentral:rRNA from 1 species
UGCCACAGCCAUAUCAACCUGCAGCACAAGACCGGUUAUUCACUGAAGCUAAGCAGGUCUGAGCCUGGUCAGUACCUGGAUGGGAGACCACUAGGGAACACUAGGUUGCUGUUGGAA